UAACCUGGUUGAUCCUGCCAGUAAUAUAUGCUUGUCUCAAAGAUUAAGCCAUGCACAUGUAAGAUCGGCAUAGGUUUCUACUUCGGUAGUCACUCAUUGUUAAUCUGUGAACGGCUCAUUAUAACAGUUAUACUCGUAGCCACUGGUACGUAGGCGCAAGCCGAUAAGGAUAACAUUGUCAAAUGCAGCGAUAAUACUUGAUAGACGGACCGGUUCACGCCGGUUGGCAUUAGCGUACUUAUCUCACGAUCGUGAGGAAACCGCGCUACUGUGACUCUUGGCUAACUGUGGUUCUCCAUAAGUGGCCGGAGCGUCGACCAUCAGACGUGUGCAAACACACAUGGUUCUUUAAAUAGGGUUUUAAUAAGGCUCUGUUUUUUUAGCUGUGCUGGUGGCCAGGAAGACGAAUUUCUUAUCUAUCAGCUGAAGUUGUCUCAAUAGGGGUGAGACACGGCGAUUACGGAUUCGGAGAAUCAGUGUUUGAUUCCGGAGAGGGAGCCUUAAAAAUGGCUACUACAUCUAAGGACGGCAGCAGGCGCGAAAAUUGCCCAAUCUCAAUUCGAGGAGGCAGUGACAAGAAAUAACGGCUCUCCACCAUCUGGUGGGGAGGUACUAUUCAUAGUUUGGAAUGAUUUUAGAUUAAAAUUCUAUUAAAAAUGACUAGAGGAAGAGUCUGGUGCCAGCACCCGCGGUAAUUCCAGCUCUAGUAGCGUAUGUUAAUACUGUUGUAGUUAAAACGCUCGUAGUUGGCCUAAGGGCUAUGUGUUUUGUGUUCGGUGUCUGUUUAUCUCUAUGGGCUAACAUGUUAUAAUGUGGGCCUUGGAAGUAGACAUACUCCUUAAGUGACUAGUAAUCUCAUCGAAGUUUGCAGUCAUGGGCGCAUGUGCAUAGUCCGCUCUACGCCAAUGGUUCCAUUGGUGGUGGCAGUUUGAACAACUGUAAACAAAUCAGGGUGCUCAAAGCAGGCAUUGUUAGAGGCUUCUGUCUCGAUUUUGCUUGAAUGAUUUAGCAUGGGAUUGUCCUAUAGCUGUGUUUGGUUCCUGUCUUCGGGCAGGCUUCCAUGCACUGGCGCUCGUAACGUGAGCAAGGGAGAGGGCUCUGGAACUAUAGUGCUAGAGGUGAAAUUUAGAUACCGCUAUAUGUCUAUCUGAUGCGAAGGCUGUUAUAGUCCAGUACAUUUCAAUCGAUCAGGAACGAAAGUUAGGGGAUCGAAGAUGAUUAGAUACCGUCGUAGUCCUAACUAUAAACGAUACCAACAAGAGAUUGGCAGUGAAACCAUUUAUGAUCCUUUCAGAAUCCAAGGGAAACCUCAAGUUUUUGGGUUCUGGGGGGAGUUAAUCGAUUAGCUCCCAAGAGUGUUAUUAAUAACGCUAGUUUUUAUUGCCUUGACCAAGUCUGCAAUAAAUGCAACACCUUCAAAUUGAGGGGAAGCUCCAAGACCCUUUAUACCAAGUUGUAGUGCCAAUGCUAUAAUGACCGUGCUAAUGACCACGGGUAUGGUAAAAGCUAAAGGGAAAGGAACAAUCCUCAGCCACGUUCUCACAGAGGACGCAGUUCACAGACUAGAUGUUGGUGGGCCAAGUAUACUUGGCAUAAGAUAUAGUCGGUCUUGUAUGCAUGUACAAGUAACAACGAUAGUCGCAAGGCCGAAACUUAAAGGAAUUGACGGAAAGGCACCACCAGGAGUGGAGUUUGCGGCUUUUCAACGAAUUAGGCCGUUAAUGCGCUAGCCAAAACUAGUGCAAGUGGCACGUGCUGCUACACUUUCAAAUUGCUCGGAACUCCUACAACUCAAUAAUGCCGCCCAGCGCCGAAAAGGUUGCAUCGGGCACCACGCUGAAAGUCGUGGGUAUGGUGACUUAUUGAAUGGGAUAAUGAGCAGCAAAAUCCUGGCGUCUUGGCACAAGCUAAGACUGCUAUGGAUGCAGUUCACAGAUUAAACGGAAGUGGGCGUUCACAAGACGCUUAAGAUAUAUUCGGUCCCACCUGAGACGGUGCCCUAGAACCAAGCCCAACAAGGCCCGAGUCUAGGGAGGCUAAGCCCAUUGAUGAUGGAAUAGCUGGGAUUCAACGUAAUUCGACUCAACGCGGGAAAACUCACCAGGUCAGGACAAAGUAAUGAUUGACAGGUUGAUAGUCUUUUCUUGAUUCUUUGGAUGGUGGUGCAUGGCCGUUCUUAGUUCGUGGAGUGAUUUGUCUUGUUAAUUCAGUUAACGAACGAGACCUUAACCUACUAAAUAUGCUAUAAGCUGGGUCUUCUGAUUCAGUCCGUUUCUUCGAGUGCCUCGUAUGGGGUGCUCUCUGAAACUUAUAAACUGGGAUGUUAUCUUCUGAUAUCCUCUCUGCUUCUUAGAGGAACAAUACUUCGUUUUUUUAGAGUAAGGAAGUUUAAGGCAAUAACAGGUCUGUAAUGCCCCUAGAUGUCCUGGGCAGCACGCGUACUACACUGUUAAUACUAACAAGCUGUACAAAGUAACCACUCUUGUGGCUACUAGCCUUCUCCUUAAAGGAGUGGGGAAUCUUUUCAAACAUUAACGUGACAGGGAUAGCUGUUUGGAAAUCCAUCUUGAACGAGGAAUUCCUAGUAAUCGCGAUUCAUCAUAUCGCAUUGAUUACGUCCCUGCCUUUUGUACACACCGCCCGUCGCUCCUACCGAUGGAAUGAGCAGGUGAAUUUGACGGACAGGGCUUUUCUGCUUUGGAAAUUAACUGAACCUUUUUAUUUGUAGGAAGGAGAAGUCGUUAACAAGGU
rnacentral:rRNA from 1 species